rnacentral:rRNA from 1 species
UACACUCCUGCGGGAGGCAGCAGUGGGGAAUUUUGGACAAUGGGCGAAAGCCUGAUCCAGCCAUGCCGCGUGCAGGAUGAAGGCCUUCGGGUUGUAAACUGCUUUUGUACGGAACGAAACGGCCUUUUCUAAUAAAGAGGGCUAAUGACGGUACCGUAAGAAUAAGCACCGGCUAACUACGUGCCAGCAGCCGCGGUAAUACGUAGGGUGCAAGCGUUAAUCGGAAUUACUGGGCGUAAAGCGUGCGCAGGCGGUUAUGUAAGACAGUUGUGAAAUCCCCGGGCUCAACCUGGGAACUGCAUCUGUGACUGCAUAGCUAGAGUACGGUAGAGGGGGAUGGAAUUCCGCGUGUAGCAGUGAAAUGCGUAGAUAUGCGGAGGAACACCGAUGGCGAAGGCAAUCCCCUGGACCUGUACUGACGCUCAUGCACGAAAGCGUGGGGAGCAAACAGGAUUAGAAACCCCUGUAGUCCCAUGA